GAUGAACGCUGGCGGCGUGCCUAAUACAUGCAAGUCGAGCGAACGGACGAGAAGCUUGCUUCUCUGAUGUUAGCGGCGGACGGGUGAGUAACACGUGGAUAACCUACCUAUAAGACUGGGAUAACUUCGGGAAACCGGAGCUAAUACCGGAUAAUAUUUUGAACCGCAUGGUUCAAAAGUGAAAGACGGUCUUGCUGUCACUUAUAGAUGGAUCCGCGCUGCAUUAGCCAGUUGGUAAGGUAACGGCUUACCAAGGCAACGAUGCAUAGCCGACCUGAGAGGGGGAUCGGCCACACUGGAACUGAGACACGGUCCAGACUCCUACGGGAGGCAGCAGUAGGGAAUCUGCCGCAAUGGGCGAAAGCCUGACGGAGCAACGCCGCGUGAGUGAUGAAGGUCUUCGGAUCGUAAAACUCUGUUAUUAGGGAAGAACAUAUGUGUAAGUAACUGUGCACAUCUUGACGGUACCUAAUCAGAAAGCCACGGCUAACUACGUG
rnacentral:rRNA from 1 species